UACGUAGGGUGCGAGCGUUAAUCGGAAUUACUGGGCGUAAAGCGUGCGCAGGCGGUUUUGUAAGCCAGGUGUGAAAGCCCCGGGCUCAACCUGGGAAUGGCAUUUGGGACUGCAAGGCUUGAGUGCGGCAGAGGAGACUGGAAUUCCUGGUGUAGCAGUGAAAUGCGUAGAUAUCAGGAGGAAUACCGAUGGCGAAGGCAGGUCUCUGGGCUGACACUGACGCUCAUGCACGAAAGCGUGGGGAGCAAACAGG
rnacentral:rRNA from 1 species